UCGUAUAAAAGAGGUGCCAAGGGCUGUCGCUGUCCCUCAAGGGUCGUGCACGCCCAAAGUGCUUUCAUACAAUCCAUCUCACCCCUUUGUGCAUCACCGCGUGGGUUCCUCCCCUUGCGGGGAAGGGCUUGCGUUUUCACAUAAAACUUGAUACAGUGUAGAAUGUUUUCUUUUGCGGUCACACGCAAUCAAUA
rnacentral:misc_RNA from 1 species